CAUAAAAUAUUUGCGAAUUAUGUACCCAUAGCCCAAGGUUCAUAGAUAGGGGUUAGGUUAUCUCAUAACUAUGUGAGCGGAAGCGAGAGGGAGGGGAAUGCCUACGUCACUCGUACGACAAAGUCAAGUUUGACAGUUGUUUGUGGUUAUAUUUCCGUAUAUUUUUGUGGAAUUUUCUUAUAAUAUCGUUUAUUUGUUUAAUAUUUGUUGAUUUUUUAAGCAUAUAAGGACAAUAUUAAUAUAAUUACUUAUUUGGGUCCUAUACAAAGGCAGUAAUGACUUGUGAAGUGUGUUUUCGUAACCGUUUAAGAUGAGUAGUGGUAACAUUUGUAGCAUAGCUAUAUGUAAAAGCAACUCCAAAAUUCCUGAACCAGAUGGAAACAAAAUAAUGUUUUUGGACAUUUCCCAAAGACCUUUACAUUAUCAAACAAUAAUGGAUAAUAAAAUGUUACAAGAUAAAUGGGCCUCUAAACAUAAGAAAAUAGGUAGCAAACAUUUCCUCGUGUCUGAAUAUGUUAAUAUUAUGUUACGUCUUUUUUAUAUUUUAACCUAAUAAUAAAUUAUUUAUAUUAUU
rnacentral:lncRNA from 1 species